AUUGAACGCUGGCGGCAGGCCUAACACAUGCAAGUCGAACGAGUGGCGGACGGGUGAGUAAUGUCUGGGAAACUGCCCGAUGGAGGGGGAUAACUACUGGAAACGGUAGCUAAUACCGCAUACCAUCGGAUGUGCCCAGAUGGGAUUGGCUUGUAGGUGAGGUAACGGCUCACCUAGGCGACGAUCCCUAGCUGGUCUGGGAGGAUGACCAGCCACACUGUACCGGAGACACGGUCCAGACUCCCAUGGGAGGGAGCAGGGGGGAAGAUGGCACAGUGGGCGCGAGCCUGAUGCAGCCAUGCCGCGUGUAUGAAGAAGGCCUUCGGGUUGUAAAGUACGUUCAGCGGGGAGGCGGUACCCGCAGAAGAAGCACCGGCUAACGCCGGGCCAGCAGCCGCGGUAAUUC
rnacentral:rRNA from 1 species